rnacentral:tRNA from 1 species
GGGGUUGUGGCUCAGCGGUAGAGCACUCGCCUCUAACAUGUGAGACCCUGGGUUCAAUCCUCAGCAUCACAU